UACGUAGGUGGCAAGCGUUAUCCGGAAUUAUUGGGCGUAAAGAGCGCGCAGGUGGUUAAUUAAGUCUGAUGUGAAAGCCCACGGCUUAACCGUGGAGGGUCAUUGGAAACUGGUUGACUUGAGUGCAGAAGAGGGAAGUGGAAUUCCAUGUGUAGCGGUGAAAUGCGUAGAGAUAUGGAGGAACACCAGUGGCGAAGGCGGCUUCCUGGCCUGCAACUGACACUGAGGCGCGAAAGCGUGGGGAGCAAGCAGG
rnacentral:rRNA from 1 species